UACGGGGGGAGCAAGCGUUGUUCGGAUUUACUGGGCGUAAAGGGCGCGUAGGCGGCACCGCAAGUCGACUGUGAAAUCUCCGGGCUUAACCCCAAGCUUGCGGUCGAUACGGGCAGGCUCGAGUUCGGUAAGGGAGACUGGAAUUCCUGGGUGUAGCGGGUGGAAUGGCGCAGAUAUCAGGAGGAACACCGGUGGCGAAGGCGGGUCUCUGG
rnacentral:rRNA from 1 species